rnacentral:rRNA from 1 species
UACGUAGGGUGCGAGCGUUAAUCGGAAUUACUGGGCGUAAGCGUGACGCAGGCGGUUUUGCAAGCCGGAUGUGAAAUCCCCGGGCUUAACCUGGGAAUGGCAUUUGGGACUGCAAGGCUGGAGUGCGGCAGAGGAGACUGGAAUUCCUGGUGUAGCAGUGAAAUGCGUAGAUAUCAGGAGGAACACCGAUGGCGAAGGCAGGUCUCUGGGCUGACACUGACGCUCAUGCACGAAAGCGUGGGGAGCAAACAGG